rnacentral:rRNA from 1 species
UACGAAGGGGGCUAGCGUUGCUCGGAAUUACUGGGCGUAAAGGGCGCGUAGGCGGCACUGUUAGUCAGGCGUGAAAUUCCUGGGCUCAACCUGGGGACUGCGCUUGAUACGGCAGAGCUUGAGGAUGGAAGAGGGUCGCGGAAUUCCCAGUGUAGAGGUGAAAUUCGUAGAUAUUCGGAAGAACACCAGUGGCGAAGGCGGCCACCUGGACGGUUACUGACGCUGAGACGCGAAAGCGUGGGGAGCAAACAGG